UCCCAUAUUGUCUAGUGGUUAGGAUACCUGGCUCUCACCCAGGAGGCCCGGGUUCAAUUCCUGGUAUGGGAA
rnacentral:tRNA from 1 species